rfam:Myotis brandtii contig293721, whole genome shotgun sequence.
AAUUACGAAAUUAAUAAUGUACCAAAAUUGGAAUGAUACAGAGAAGAUGGGUAUGACCCUGUGCAAGGGUGACAUGCAAGUUCGUAAAGUGUUCCAUAUUUUU